UACGAAGGGGGCUAGCGUUGCUCGGAAUCACUGGGCGUAAAGGGUGCGUAGGCGGGUAUUUAAGUCAGGGGGGAAAUCCUGGAGCUCAACUCCAGAACUGCCUUUGAUACUGAGGAUCUUGAGUUCGGGAGAGGUGAGUGGAACUGCGAGUGUAGAGGUGAAAUUCGUAGAUAUUCGGAAGAACACCAGUGGCGAAGGCGACUUACUGGACGCAUAUUGACGCUGAGGUGCGAAAGCGUGGGGAGCAAACAGG
rnacentral:rRNA from 1 species